rnacentral:rRNA from 1 species
AGCGCGGGCGGACCGGCAAGUUGGAAGUGAAAACUAUGGGCUCAACCCAUAAAUUGCUUUCAAAACUGCUGGCCUUGAGUAGUGCAGAGGUAGGUGGAAUUCCCGGUGUAGCGGUGGAAUGCGUAGAUAUCGGGAGGAACACCAGUGGCGAAGGCGACCUACUGGGCACCAACUGACGCUGAGGCUCGAAAGCAUGGGUAGCAAACA